UGGAUGCAGGCAGUUAACAGCAGUGCCCUGAGAUGUUAAAACCUACAAAUCUACCAGCAACCUAGAAAGCAGAAACUGCACACAAGCUUCUAUGGAACCCAAUACAAAAUCCUUUACUUCUAUCUGAUAUUGAGAACUAGCAGCAAACUGAAAUUCUAGACAUCAGCCUAAAAUAAGCAAUUGGUUCCAGAAAAUCUGGAAUGUAUUUAAUGGAAAAACUGACAUCUUUAAAAAGACAACCUUGUAGUGUGACCUUGAAAACUGUCAACCUUUUGGACUAUGCUGAGAAAGUUUAAGAAGCUAAGAAACCAACGUCACUCACCUCAUUCUGGCCAGUUUAGAACUCCCUCUCCGGCACACCAGCAUUUUCUCAUGGGAAGAGGGACUGUAAGGACCGCCUUGCCUACAUCUGCAUCCUCUCCAGCCUGCACAGAGAGUAACGUCUGGUGAAAGCAUGGAUGGAGGACCACGCUACUGCUCUGCCGGUGUCCAUAACAGGGACAUGGGUCACAAAUGCUGCUGGGGUCAAUAGCACUCUGUUGGAGCAUGUCAUGAGUCUGUCAAGCAGUGUUACCCCUGGGGCAGCGGAAGGCAUGGUAAUGCAGCUCAUGAUCCAUUUUGAGAGGCUGAGUGGUGACUGGAUGAGCCCUGGUACAUUGUGUGUACAGGGUAAACAGCUGGGACAAAACUCAAAAGGCCUUAGUCCUACUGAGGUAAAAAGCUAAUGGCUCAACCGAUGUUGAGGGGUGGAGUUUUCACUCAUCCCUAUGUAAAAGCAGUUGCGGGAAGACCACUGGCAGGUAAAUUGAUUCGGAUGGAAGUUAGAAACCACUUUCAGAAGGAACUUGGAGAUGUGAUCUCAGCUGCACCUGAGCCUUGUUGAAAACCACAUAUAGUGGUAGAGGAAAGGCUGCCUUUGCUGCUGGGGUAACAUGUAUGAGCCAAUGGGUCAAUGACAGGAUUCAGGAUUGGCCAUGCAGAACUGCUGCAGAAUGAAGCUUUCUUACAAAAAGGUCAAGUCUCUUGGUGGUUUUGUCCUCAGGGGUAGCCUUAGCUCUCCCGUCUACUCUUCUCAUUCACUGUAGCUACCACUAACG